rnacentral:rRNA from 1 species
CAAAGAGAAGCAAAGCCGCGAGGUAGAGCAAAUCUCAAAAAAACAUCUCAGUUCAGACUGCAGGCUGCAACUCGCCUGCACGAAGUCGGAAUUGCUAGUAAUCGUAGGUCAGCAUACUACGGUGAAUACGUUCCCGGGCCUUGUACACACCGCCCGUCAAACCAUGAGAGUUGGCAACACCCGAAGUCGGUAGUCUAACCGCAAGGAGGACGCCGCCGAAGGUGGGGUUGAUGAUUAGGGUUAAGUCGUAACAAGGUACC